rnacentral:rRNA from 1 species
AUGUCGACGACGGCGCACAAGGUGGCGACGCAGGCGGCGUCGGCGGCGGGGGCGAGAAUGAAGGGUCGGCGGCCGCCGAGCGUGGUGAGGGAGAUCGUGUACGGGAUGAGCCUGGGGCUCUUCGCGGGGUACCUGUGGAAGCUGCACCACUGGAGCAACCAGCGCCGCACCCGCGAGUUCUACGCCCUGCUCGACGAGGGCAGGAUCACCGUCGUCGUUGACGAGCCGGCCGGAGCCAAGGAUUAG